CCGCCGCGGGAAUACGUAGGUCCCGAGCGUUGUCCGGAUUUAUUGGGCGUAAAGCGAGCGCAGGCGGUUAGAUAAGUCUGAAGUUAAAGGCUGUGGCUUAACCAUAGUACGCUUUGGAAACUGUUUAACUUGAGUGCAAGAGGGGAGAGUGGAAUUCCAUGUGUAGCGGUGAAAUGCGUAGAUAUAUGGAGGAACACCGGUGGCGAAAGCGGCUCUCUGGCUUGUAACUGACGCUGAGGCUCGAGAGCGUGGGGAGCAAACAGGAUUAGAUACCCCCGUAGUCCCUGUCUCUUAUACACAU
rnacentral:rRNA from 1 species